AUGUCUUCUGACACACACAGAGGCAGAAGAGUGCUGGAGCUGCAGUGUGUUUUUUCUGUGUUUGUGAAUGUGUUGUGUUUGUCUCCUGCAGCUGGUCCCACAGUGAAGCCCUCAGUGUCUCUGCUGCCGCCCUCUUCUCUGCAGAUCUCUGGAGACUCAGCCGCACUGCUCUGCCUGCUCAGCUCUUACUCUCCACAGGGGGCGCUGGUGAGCUGGACACUGGACGGCUCAGAGGUCACCGAGGGGGUUGUGACCAGCGCAGAGAGCGAGCAGGACGGCCGCUACAGCCGCAGUAGUGUCCUGACCCUCAGCAAAGCACGCUGGGAAGCGGGAGAGCAGUACGUCUGCAGAGUAACACAUGAUGGAGCUCCUCAUGAGGCCUCGUUCCACAAGAGUCGCUGUUAGUCGCUCGCAGUGCUGAUGUUUCUCCAGUGAGCGCUGCUCUCUCCUGAAGAUGAGUGUAUCUGAGUGUCCUGUGUCAGGCAGGAUUCACAUGAGUCUA